rnacentral:rRNA from 1 species
GACGUAGGGCGCGAGCGUUGUCCGGAUUUAUUGGGCGUAAAGAGCUCGUAGGCGGCUUGUCGCGUCGACUGUGAAAGCCCGCGGCUCAACCGCGGGUCUGCAGUCGAUACGGGCAGGCUAGAGUUCGGUAGGGGAGACUGGAAUUCCUGGUGUAGCGGUGAAAUGCGCAGAUAUCAGGAGGAACACCCGUGGCGAAGGCGGCUCUCUGGGACGGUACUGACGCUGAGACGCGAAAGCGUGGGGAGCGAACAGG